rnacentral:rRNA from 1 species
GAAGCGGGUGCUUGCACUCGUGGAUCAGUGGCGAACGGGUGAGUAACACGUGAGUAACCUGCCCAUCACUCUGGGAUAAGCGCUGGAAACGGCGUCUAAUACUGGAUACGACCAACCCUUGCAUGGGGUGUUGGUGGAAAGAUUUAUCGGUGGUGGAUGGACUCGCGUCCUAUCAGCUUGUUGGUGGGGUAAUGGCCUACCAAGGCGACGACGGGUAGCCGGCCUGAGAGGGCGACCGGCCACACUGGGACUGAGACACGGCCCAGACUCCUACGGGAGGCAGCAGUGGGGAAUAUUGCACAAUGGGCGAAAGCCUGAUGCAGCGACGCCGCGUGAGGGAUGACGGCCUUCGGGUUGUAAACCUCUUUCAGCAGGGAAGAAGCUUUUGUGACGGUACCUGCAGAAGAAGCACCGGCUAACUACGUGCCAGCAGCCGCGGUAAUACGUAGGGUGCGAGCGUUGUCCGGAAUUAUUGGGCGUAAAGAGCUUGUAGGCGGUUUGUCGCGUCUGCUGUGAAAAUCUAGGGCUUAACCCUGGACGUGCAGUGGGUACGGGCAGACUAGAGUGUGGUAGGGGAGACUGGAAUUCCUGGUGUAGCGGUGGAAUGCGCAGAUAUCAGGAGGAACACCGAUGGCGAAGGCAGGUCUCUGGGCCAUUACUGACGCUGAGAAGCGAAAGCAUGGGGAGCGAACAGGAUUAGAUACCCUGGUAGUCCAUGCCGUAAACGUUGGGCGCUAGGCGUGGGUCUCA